CCCCGCCUAUUUCCCUUGCUGCGUGACUGUGAUUCUUCUCCGGAUGGUUUCCGAGCUGGGCGGCGGGAGGAGGCUUUAUCAUCAGAGAGAGUGUGUCCAGAGGGGGGAACAUUUUCCGGUCGUGGGGGUGGUCGCCUUCCGUUUGAAUUCGACGGCUUAUCGGCUGGCUUGUCAAGAGAGAGGUCUUCAAAUAAUUCUGCAACGUGUCCGGUCGACGGAGGAUCCGCUGAUGGAAGCUUUUCGGGUGACAUAUUCCCGGUUGAAGCAAGGAGUGAAGUCUGAGAUUCUGAGUCGUCGAGGAAUGGGUUUCUUGACACUGGGCGCUGCUGUCUCAGGGGAGGGCCUGUUGUGGAAGCGAACGAUGCCGAAGAGGCACGAUUUCUAAAGGGAUUAUUGGAUCCCAAAUUGACAGUCAAUCCCGGUGAGGGUUGCCGGUCUGGCACUGGUAUUGGGGCAAGAGACAUGAUGACAGGAGAUGAGUAUUAUUAAGGGCAAGGAGAAUGAAGUCACCGCGGCAGUGACAACCGGUUUCAGGUCGGAGAAAGAAAGACCAGCAGCAGGUGGGGAUCCUGUGAACCAACAGCCGGCCAACAAUCCUGAAAGCACGCGACAGGAACAGGCCCAGUAGCUGUGCUUCUUGUGUCUUCUUCCCUUUUUUAUUUGACAAUGACAGGAGGAUGGUGGGUCGUCGCGAUGUGUCUUUCUUCUCCUCGAAACCCUGGAACCGCCCGUUGUCGUCGGCAAGUUGGUUGGGGUCGGGCGACGAUCAGGGACAACUACGAGGAAACACGCAAACGACGGCACGGCGGACGAUGACGAGUGGCCGUCACAAAGCCAGGUCGAUUGGUGAUGUUAGGAGAAGCCUUCAACCCGCCAGGGCGAAUCAACGUCGCUUCUCGAACGUGAAACAAUCGGGGUGGUGGCCAAACAGCGCCUGAGGCUGGGUAUUAGGGUGGGGAAAACGAUGAUGGACGAAGCUGUCAAGACCAACUGAAAGAAAGACAGGUGGAUCAAACGAUUGAAUGGAUAGGCAUGCUUACCGGUGAGACUGAACGCCUCUGAUUGAUUUAAGGAGUGUACCGUCGGAGAAAACAAGGGGGGAACACGGAUCAAUAUGUUAGUGACGGGACACGAGGAUCCAUGGAUGGGGAAAAUGAAGGAGUAAACGCGGAACGGAUAAAGGGGCUGCUCUAGUUCACUUAUCAAGGUGCAGGCUAAAACAUGGCCUGCUUGCAGUCAUCGAUAAGCAAUAAGAACCUACAAUCUUCUGCCACCGCUGAACAGAGGGGAAUUUUGACAACAAUCAAUGCACGUAAUCUGUCAGCAACAUCGAGGUUCGUCCACGAUAGAGCAAUUGAUCACGCUGCUGCAAACAGACGGCGACUGGCGAGGUGAGCUACAUGAAAUUCGCCGUACGGAAUUUUGUGUAUCGAUGAAUAUUAUUUGACUGAAUUCCGAAGUUCCGAAUUAACGCACUAUAUAUAUGGAUUUUUACCUCUGCUUUGAUAAAUAGAAAUUCAACGUUAAUCCGUUACAUCAGAGCGCGGGAAGAUCCAUUUAAAUACUCUACGAUGUAAUUAAUAUGCUUCCGACCUAGGUAAUCUGCAAAAGAAAACAGGAAACUUGUUAGACCAACCCAAGCCCUUGAUUUUCCAUGAUCCUCAGUGCAAUGCAUCGAGAACUCUGCUCUACAACAGAAUUGUAUGUUCCAAUCCUGUUUAAGGGCAGGUAAGCCUCUUCAUUGACCUCAUAUGGCUCAAACCCUUUGCCUCGCCUGUUCAUCCCUUGCCUUUUCAAUGCCCCUAGGCCCUCAUGCUCAUAUCUCCCCUGCCAAGGUUCUGAUAUAAACUGCUGUGCUCGUAGGAUCCAGAGAGAUGGAUAUGCAAGGGGGAAAGAAGGGAAGAUCUGCGGAUUUGUUGCAUUAAUUGCCUGCGAACGGAAAACCACCAUGUUUGCAAUGCGAUUGUUCAACCACCCGGACGACUGGCAACGGUCCAUUUUGGAACUUGAUGAGGGAGAAAUGUAUUCUAUCCAUCAUAAUGCACUCAAAAAAAUACGUGUGUCGAAUCCGACCUGCAUUGACUACGGUUGCAAAGCAAGCUUACUACGUGGGGAAUCUAAACCUGCAAGCGAGAAGAGAAAACAACCCCAGUCAAUCAUCUACCAGCAUAAUGGGUGAGAUUGUCGAUCAACAAAUGAGAUAACUCUUGACCAAAUACAUUUUUCAGGGUUUCACAGCUGGACGGCGCGUUGAGCCUGAGUAUUUAUCAUCGGGUAUGAAAGGCUCCCCGCAAGAUGGAAGCAAUCGCGCUGAAAAUUGGAUAUCGAAGAUUUCAGAACGCUGCUUUUCACCCCUAACUCUGAUUUGAUGACUUACAUACUCUGGGAGGACUGGUGCAACUGGGCUGCUGCUUCGCAUCCAAAUGAUCCAGAGUAAUGAAUAGCUCGGGAUGUAAGCGACGGAUAUUUGCAAUGAAAGUGGUGGGAGGCCCGGGGCUGACGAUUGGACAACUGAAUUUAAUAAGGUGUACGGAGUAGGGCAUUUGAUUAUCAGGAAAUGCUUCAUCUGUUGUUAUAUUGUUAGUUAAUUAGUUAACUAUCCCUUCAUUCCUGACAUAACCAUGAUCCAAUAAAUAUCCUCCUCAACCUUUGGAGACAUGUAUGUAUACAGAUUACUUAUGUCUGUAUUUAAAUUAGACUUUGGCCUCACCAUCCCCAUACCAUGGGCC
rnacentral:sRNA from 1 species